AUCUAAUUAAAAUUAAAUCUCCGCACUUGCUCCUCGUUGUUUAUAUGUCGCGCGUGGGAGAUCUAACAACAGCCGCUUGAGGGUCAUGUCUAGGGUCAAAUUUGCUGUAGCCAAUCAGUGAAAGUGCUACAAAGUGUUAGGGUAUUGGACUGGCAUAGGAGUCUUAGUAGCGUCUAGAGGUCUUCCGAAUGUAUAUAAACAAAAAUGGCAGCCCCCAUGCGAAAAACGUUUCGUAACAUACAACUGUAAUAAUAGUUUGUAUUAUUGCCUUCCGAGGUUAAAAUGACAUCAAGUGAAGUAUGCACCCCAAGGAAAAUAUCAGUAUGAACAAACAUUUGUGUUUUAUGCGGUUUUUCUUUCAUCCAGAUAGAAAUCUCCUCAACGGGAGAAUGUGUUGAAAAAAAACUGUUCAAACUGAAACUUCAGCAGAACUCAGAGAGAAUUGCAAUAAUUUCUAGUGUUGUUACUGGUUUUGAAGUAAACGCCGUAGUAGACAAUGACAAUGGCGUCUGUAUUAAAUGUUUUAGAAAAGUCCAACAGUCAAUCAAAUUUAAGAAAGAUGCAUUAAAAAUUCAAGAAGAACUAAGUGACUAACUUCGGGUGUCUUACCACCUGACCAAUCAGAAAGAUUAAUUGCUAAUAGAUUUGUUAAUCUGCAAGGUGGAACAAACAAUAAUAUAAGCUUAGAUGAAUACUUGAGAGAUGUUGAACAAGGAUACAAAAGUAACAUGUUCAGGACAUCAGACAAAGGAAAGUAUCCUUCAACACUCUAAAGAGUAUCCUCACCUAGUUAAUUUUGCAAGCCAUUUUGAUAACAUUACCAAUUUAACAGGAAAGAAGGGGUUCCACCAUAUACGGUCAUACCAAGCUGAUGUUCAGAAAAUUGCAAAAGACCUACUACAAGAAAAUGUACUACAUGUAACAUAUAAAACUUCAAGAAUAAUAACAAUUCAGUGCAAGGAGCUAAAAAAAGACAAAAACCCAUUUGACAGUGCAUUUAUAGGACUUCGUACAUUGAUUCAUCGCCGUGACAUCAACCAACAGUCCCCUUCCAUCGCCUUCAAAUCCACAUAUUUAAAAAAUAUUGCUUGGAAUUAAAUUAUUGUGAAUAAAGUGUGCAGGUUUAAUUUUCUCUUAAGUCAUAACCUUAAUUAGCUGGUACUUUUUUAUACGACCGCAAAAAUUAAAAAUUUUUUGGUCGUAUAUUGGUAUGACGUUGGCGUCGUCGUUGUCGUCGUCGUCGUCGUCCGGCGUCGUCCGAAGACACAUUGGUUUUCGCACUCUAACUUUAGUUUAAGUGAAUGGAUCUCCAUGAAAUUUUACCAUAAGGUUCAAUACCACGAAAGGAAGGUGGGGAUUGAUUUUGGGGGUUAUGGUACCAACAGUUAAGGAAUUAGGGGCCAAAAAGGGGCCAAAAAUAAGCAUUUUUGUAACUUCCAGACAAUAACUUGUGUGUAAGUGUAUGGAUCUCUCUGACAUUGUACCACAAGGUUCCAUAUCACAAAGGGAAGGCUGUAAUUGAUUUUGGGGGUAAUUGCCUCAAAAUUUUAGGAAUUAGGGGCCAAAAAAGGGGCAAAAAACAAGCAUUUUUCUAGUUUCAUGACAAUAACUUGUGUGUAAGUGUUUGGAUAUUUCUGAAAUUGUACUACAAGGUUCCAUAUCACAAAGGGAAAGCUGGAAUUGAGUUUGGGGGUAAUUGCCCGAAACGUUUAGGAAUUGGGGGCCAAAAAGGGGCCAAAAAUAAGCAUUUUACUAGUUUCCAGACAAUAACUUGUGUUCAAGUGUAUGGAUCUCUCUGAAAUUGUACUGCAAGGUACCAUACCACAAAGGGAAGGCUGGGAUUGAGUUUGGGGGUGAUGAAUCAUAAGGGGGUUUAAAAAAUUUGGGGGGGGGGGGGGUUUUUUUUUCUUUUUUUCCUUUUUUUUUUCUUUUAAAAUUUUCCAUUUUAAGUUGGUUAUUUCUGAUUAAUAUUUAAAAGCAAAUAAUAAUGAUAUGGUAGGAGAUACACACCAAACAGGAUGUGUAAAUUAUUAUAUAAUAAGUAUUGUGCAAUAGCAAGAAAUUUUCAAUUGCACAGUAUUGCACAAUUGCAAGAAAUCUUCAAUUGCACAGUAUUGCGCAAUAGCAAGAAAUCUUCAAUUGCACAGUAUUGGGCAAUAGCAAGAAAUAUCCAAUAGCACAAUAUUGCGCAAUACAAAGAAAUUGUCAAUUGUACAGUAUUGCACAAUAGCAAGAAAUAUUCAAUUGCACAGUAUUGUGCAAAAGAAGAUACUUCGAAUAAAUUGCUUAUUUCUUGAUCAAUUUCAAUGGGGUUUUAUUCUUGAAUUCUUGGGGUUCUUUAAUAUGCUGAAUCUAACCGUGUAUUAAGUUUUUAUACGACCGCAAAAAAAUUUUGUGGUCGUAUAUUGGUAUGAUGUUGGCGUCGUCGUCGUCGUCGUCGUCGUCCGGCGUCGUCGUCCGAAUACACAUUGGUUUUCGCACUCUAACUUUAGUUUAAGUGAAUGGAUCUUUUUGAAAUUUGACCAUAAGGUUAAAUACCACAAAAGGAAGGUUUGGAUUGAUUUUGGGGGUUAUUGUACCAACAGUUAAGGAAUUAGGGGCCAAAAAGGGGCCAAAAAUAAGCAUUUUCUAGUUUCCAGACAAUAACUGUGGAACGGUGUAUGGAUCUCUCUGAAAUUAUACUACAAGUUUCCAUACCACAAAGGGAUUGUUAGGAUUUGCUUUGGGGGGUUAUGGCUCAAACCGUUUAGGAAUUAGGGGCAAAAAAGGGGGAAAAACAAGGUUGUCCUGGUUAAUGGACAAAUACUUUAGUACAAAACAUAACUUAAAGCAGUGUAAGGGAGAUAAAUCAAAUUCAUCAUUGAAAUUAUCUCCCUUACACUGCUUUUAAAUUAUGUAUAAAGUAAUGGUUAAUGAACAAUAAAGAUAAUUUAAAACAGUGUAAGGGAGGUAAUCAAAAUACAACGUUUUGGUUACUUCCCUUACACUGCUUUUAAAUUAUGUUUAAAGAAAUGCAUAUUUAUAAAGGAAGACCAGUAAAAAUAUCUGCAAAUGUUGCAUCUUUUUUUUUUACAAAAAAAUCCAUAUGAAAGAUUUGACACUAUAUUUUUAAUUCUAUUAUAAAAUAGAUUAAGUUAGCACUAUGGUAAAUUUAAAUGGGUAAUUAUGGUUGCCAACUCCAUUGGAAAUUUGAAUUGAGAUUAUGACCAUAUCUUGAGGGAAAGAAUUUUUUUGGGGAAAAAAGGGGGGGGGGGGAUAAAAAGAAAUGGUGGGGGGUCAAUUUUUUCUCAUUUCAGAUUUCAGAAAUUAAAAAGAAUUAUUCUUCAAAUAUUAUUUUUUUUUCAAAUUUCAAAUAUUGAAAAAUUUCAAGAAGUAAUCUUUAAUUGCACAGUAUGGCGCAUUAUAUUUGUAAAAUCUUUGAUCACAUUUAUUUAUUUGUUAUGCCGAAUCUAACAGUGUAUUUAGAUUUUUAAUUUUGGGUCCAGUUUUCAAAUUGGUCUACAUUAAGGUCCAAAGGGUCCAAAAUUAAACUUUGUUUGAUUUUAGCAAAAAUUGAAUAUAUGAGGUUCUUUGAUAUGCUGAAUCUAAACAUGUAUUUAGAUUUUUGAUUUUUGGCCCAGUUUUCAAGUUGGUCCAAAUUGGGGUCCAAAAUUAAACUUUGUUUGAUUUCAACAAAAAUUGAAUAUAUGGGGUUCUUUGAUAUGCUGAAUCUAACCAUGUAUUUAGAUUUUUUAUUUGUGGACCCCGUUAUCAAAUUGGUUCAUAUUGAGGUCAAAAGGGUCCAAAAUUAAACUUUGUUUGAUUUCAUCUAAAAUUGAAUUAUUGGGGUUCUUUGAUAUUCCAAAUCUAACCGUGUAUUUAGAUUUUUAAUUUUGGGUCCUGUUUUUUAAAUUGGUCUACAUUAAGGUCCAAAGGGUCCAAAAUUAAACUUAGUUUGAUUUUAACAAAAAUUGAAUUCUUGGGGUUCUUUGAUAUGCUGAAUCUAGACAUGUGUUUAGAUUUUUGAUUAUGGGCCCAGUUUUCAAGUUGGUCCAAGAUAGGGUCCAGUAUUUAAACUUUGUUUGAUUUUAACAAAAAUUGAAUAUAUGGGGUUCUUUGAUAUGCUGAAUCUAAACAUGUGUUUAGAUUUUUGAUUAUGGGCCCAGUUUUCAAGUUGGUCCAAGAUAGGGUCCAGUAUUUAAACUUUGUUUGAUUUCAACAAAAAUUGAAUAUAUGAGGUUCUUUGAUAUGCUGAAUCUAACCAUGUAUUUAGAUUUUUUAUUUGUAGGCCCCGCUAUCAAAUUGGUUCAUAUUGAGGUCAAAAGGGUCCAAAAUUAAAUUUUGUUUGAUUUCAUCAAAAAUUGAAUUCUUGGGGUUCUUUGAUAUGCUGAAUCUAACCAUGUAUUUAGAUUUUUUAUUUGUGGACCCGCUAUCAAAUUGGUUCAUAUUGAGUUCAAAAGGGUCCAAAAUUAAACUUUGUUUGAUUUCAUCAAAAAUUGAAUUAUUGGGGUUCUUUGAUAUGCCAAAUCUAACCGUGUAUUUAGAUUUUUAAUUUUGGGUCCCGUUUUUAAAUUGGUCUACAUUAAGGUCCAAAGGGUCCAAAAUUAAACUUAGUUUGAUUUUAACAAAAAUUGAAUUCUUGGGGUUCUUUGAUAUGCUGAAUCUAAACAUGUGUUGAGAUUUUUGAUUAUGGGCCCAGUUUUCAAGUUGGUCCAAGUUGGGGUCCAAAAUUAAACUUUGUUUGAUUUCAACAAAAAUUGAAUAUAUGGGGUUCUUUGAUAUGCUGAAUCUAAACAUGUAUUUAGAUUUUAGAUUUUUGGCCCAGUUUUCAAGUUGGUCCAAAUUGGGGUCCAAAAUUAAACUUUGUUUGAUUUCAACAAAAAUUGAAUAUAUGGGGUUCUUUGAUAUGCUGAAUCUUACCAUGUAUUUAGAUUUUUUAUUUGUGGGCCCGCUAUCAAAUUGGUUCAUAUUGAGGUCAAAAGGGUCCAAAAUUAAACUUUGUUUGAUUUCAUCAGAAAUUUAAUUAUUGGGGUUCUUUGAUAUGCCAAAUCUAACCGUGUAUUUAGAUUUUUAAUUUUGGGUCCCGUUUUUUAAAUUGGUCUACAUUAAGGUCCAAAGGGUCCAAAAUUAAACUUAGUUUGAUUUUAACAAAAAUUGAAUUUUUGGGGUUCUUUGAUAUGCUGAAUCUAAACAUGUGUUUAGAUUUUUGAUUAUGGGACCAGUUUUCAAGUUGGGGUCCAAAAUUAAACUUUGUUUGAUUUCAACAAAAAUUGAAUAUACGGGGUUCUUUGAUAUGCUGAAUCUAAACAUGUAUUUAGAUUUUAGAUUUUUGGCCCAGUUUUCAAGUUGGUCCAAAUUGGGGUCCAAAAUUAAACUUUGUUUGAUUUCAACAAAAAUUGAAUAUAUGGGGUUCUUUGAUAUGCUGAAUCUAACCAUGUAUUUAGAUUUUUUAUUUGUGGGCCACGCUAUCAAAUUGGUUCAUAUUGAGGUCAAAAGGGUCCAAAAUUAAACUUUGUUUGAUUUCGUCAAAAAUUGAAUUAUUGGGGUUCUUUGAUAUGCCAAAUCUAACAGUGUUUUUUAGAUUUUUAAUUUGGGUCCCGUUUUUUAAAUUGGUCUUCAUUGAGGUCCAAAGGGUCCAAAAUUAAACUUAGUUCGAUUUUAACAAAAAUUGAAUUCUUGGGGUUCUUUGAUAUGCUGAAUCUAAACAUGUGUUUAGAUUUUGGUUAUGGGCCCAGU